GCCGCCUGGCCAGACUGCCAGCACUCACCCUGGGAAAGGUGAAGCAGCACGGGGCUCCCUCUCUCCCAUCACCUCCCUGGCAGUCUCCUCCCCGCAUCUCUUGCACCUCAAACACAACUUGUUUUUUGUUGGUGUGUGCGUGCGUGUGUGCGCGGGUGGAGGUAGAGGAGGGAGGGGCGCAAGGGUGGGCGGCGGUCCCUGCCUCACCUGAGUUCUGGGAGUGGAGGAAAUUGAAAGAGUGUCACUGGUCACCGAACCCUUCUGUCCGCCAUCACGGUUCUUGUAAACAACGCCAAGAGACCGCUAGGGCAAACACUUUUCUUCUAUCUUCACUAUCACUGUCCUGUUACUAUUUUACUGUGCAUUAUUAAAUUCAGUGUAUUUUUUACAAGUACUGUGAUGUUUUCUUUGGUCUUAAUCGUCUAGUUCUCUUUCUUGUAAUAUAUAGUAACUCAUGUCUACGCUUCCGUCUCCAGUAACACCAUUUUGUUACUAAUUUCCUAUGCGUCGGUGACCAUUUACUUCUGCUACUUACUUCUUAUGUACAUGUUAUGUAUAAACUUCUAGGCAAAGAAUAAAUGAAAUGUUAAAGAGACCGCCGGGUUAAAGCAUUCUUCCUUGUUUCCUAUCGAGAAGUCUGUCUUUGAAAUUACGGCAUGAAAAUAAAUUAUGCUUCGCCUACUUGAGAA